UCGACGGAGGUUAAGAGGAAGCUUGCGAAUCUUAAAUCUUAGUGGCGGACGGGUGAGUAACACGUGGAUAACCUGCCUGUAAGACCGGGACAACACCUGGAAACGGGUGCUAAUACCGGGUAAGCUCUUUAUGCCGCAUGGAGUGAAGAGGAGAGGGGAAACCCGCUUACAGAUGGAUCCGCGGCCCAUUAGCUAGUUGGCGGUGUAACGGACCACCAAGGCGACGAUGGGUAGCCGGCCUGAGAGGGUGAUCGGCCACACUGGAACUGAGACACGGUCCAGACUCCUACGGGAGGCAGCAGUGGGGAAUCUUCCGCAAUGGGCGAAAGCCUGACGGAGCAACGCCGCGUGAAUGAUGAAGGCCUUCGGGUUGUAAAAUUCUGUCUUCAGGGAAGAAAAAAAUGACGGUACCUGAGGAGGAAGCCCCGGCUAACUACGUGCCAGCAGCCGCGGUAAUACGUAGGGGGCGAGCGUUGUCCGGAAUUACUGGGCGUAAAGGGCGCGUAGGCGGUUUAUUAAGUCAGAGGUGAAAGCUCCCGGCUCAACCGGGGGACUGCCUUUGAAACUGGUAGACUUGAGGGCAGGAGAGGGGAGUGGAAUUCCCGGUGUAGCGGUG
rnacentral:rRNA from 1 species